UGGCUGCGAAAUGCAAAGACACAUGCAAUGCGUGCAGUUACUUCGAAGAAACUAAACAUAACGGGUUCGUCUCCCGCAACAUCACACUCUAGGCUCCUAGAUACUAAAAAGAGAAAGUAAUAACACAUAGAAGC
rnacentral:ribozyme from 1 species